ncrna:unclassified sequences L31-Actinobacteria ribosomal protein leader
CAGGCUCCGGUUCACGACGCGGUUCCGAUGCAUUCCAGCUUCGUGCUCGCCCUGCGCGAGCCCGCUCGACCCGGCGGCC